rnacentral:tRNA from 1 species
GGCCUUGUGGCCUAAUGGAUAAGGCGUCGGACUUCGGAUUUGAAGAUUUCAGGUUCGAGUCCUGCCAGGUUCG